rnacentral:ncRNA from 1 species
AUCAUAACUCCGAGCAAAAGCGCCUAAAACGAAGGUCACGGCGCUGCGCCUGGUCCUUCGGGACCCACCGGGUGGAGACAGAAAUGUCUUCGCCUUCCGUAGUUGAAAAGGGGUCA